GUACAAACUUGAUCAUUAGCUCUGCAUGAUGUGGUAGAAGCUAAGGGAACCAGGUUUGCCAAAGUAACUGUGAUGAUAGAAAUGUAUUAGCCUCUGAAGCUACUAAGGUGGCCCAUUCUAUCCUAGAGCACUA
rnacentral:snoRNA from 1 species